rnacentral:tmRNA from 2 species
CCGCUUGCAGCCGGGCGCGGGCGCCCCUAUAUUGAUUGUGUCCGGGGUGACCCGGACUAUGGGUAUAAACGCGCUCGUAAUAAGCGGAUCGGACCCGGGGGCGGUACCCGGCGGCUCCACCAUCAAUCCCGUCGUUGGGGAUCAUGGGGCCGAAACAGGAUCGACGAACGUCCAAAGGGGUUUGCUUUACCUCGGUGAGCUACCACCGUUAUCGGUGCAAAAGUACAGUUGCCAACGACAACCGUGCUCCGGUCGCUCUGGCUGCGUAAGCAGCUCGGGUAACCGAAACCUAAAGCCCUGUCGCUUAGCCGCGGCAGGCGGGGCUCGCAGGCGCCUGGCAACAGAAGCCUGCACC